UACGGAGGGUGCAAGCGUUAUCCGGAUUUACUGGGUUUAAAGGGUGCGUAGGCGGGCAGGUAAGUCAGGGGUGAAAUCUUCGAGCUUAACUCGGAAACUGCCUUUGAUACUAUCUGUCUUGAAUAUGGUGGUGGUAAGCGGAAUAUGUCAUGUAGCGGUGAAAUGCUUAGAUAUGACAUAGAACACCUAUUGCGAAGGCAGCUUACUACGCCUAUAUUGACGCUGAGGCACGAAAGCGUGGGGAUCAAACAGG
rnacentral:rRNA from 1 species